rnacentral:rRNA from 1 species
GAUGAACGCUGGCGGCGUGCUUAACACAUGCAAGCCUAGCGAUAUGUAAGUUAGUGGCGGACGGGUGAGUAACGCGUGGGUAACCUGCCUUGUACUGGGGGACAACAGUUGGAAACGACUGCUAAUACCGCAUAAGCGCACAGCUUCGCAUGAAGCAGUGUGAAAAACUCCGGUGGUACAAGAUGGACCCGCGUCUGAUUAGCUGGUUGGUGAGGUAACGGCCCACCAAGGCGACGAUCAGUAGCCGACCUGAGAGGGUGAACGGCCACAUUGGGACUGAGACACGGCCCAAACUCCUACGGGAGGCAGCAGUGGGGAAUAUUGCACAAUGGGGGAAACCCUGAUGCAGCAACGCCGCGUGAGUGAAGAAGUAUUUCGGUAUGUAAAGCUCUAUCAGCAGGAAAGAAAAUGACGGUACCUGACUAAGAAGCCCCGGCUAACUACGUG